rnacentral:rRNA from 1 species
AUUGAACGCUGGCGGCAGGCCUAACACAUGCAAGUCGUGCGGUAACAGGUGAAAGGCAACUUUCAUGCUGACGAGCGGCGGACGGGUGAGUAAGGUAUGGGAAUCUGGCUUACGGAGGGGGAUAACUGCUGGAAACGGCAGCUAAUACCGCAUAAAGUUGAGAAACCAAAGUGCGGGACCGAAAGGCCGCGCGCCGUAAGAUGAGCCCAUACGGGAUUAGCUGGUUGGCGGGGUAAAGGCCCACCAAAGCGACGAUCCCUAGCUGGUCUGAGAGGAUGAACAGCCACACCGGAACUGAGAGACGGUCCGGACUCCUGCGGGAGGCAGCAGUGGGGAAUAUUGCACAAUGGGGGAAACCCUGAUGCAGCCAUGCCGCGUGUAUGAAGAAGGCCUUCGGGUUGUAAAGUACUUUCGGUGGUGAGGAAAGCAUGAUGGUUAAGAGCUGUGAUGCGUGACGUAAGCCACAGAAGAAGCACCGGCAAACUCCGUGCCAGCAGCCGCGGUAAUACGGAGGGUGCGAGCGUUAAUCGGAAUAACUGGGCGUAAAGGGCACGCAGGCGGCGGUAUAAGUCAGAUGUGAAAUCCCCGUGUUCAUCGCGGGAACGGCAUUUGAAACUGUAGAGCUGGAG